GACGAACGCUGGCGGCGUGCCUAACACAUGCAAGUCGAGCGAGUGGAGUUCUUCGGAACAAAGCUAGCGGCGGACGGGUGAGUAACACGUGGGCAACCUGCCUCAUAGAGGGGAAUAGCCUCCCGAAAGGGAGAUUAAUACCGCAUAAGAUUGUAGCUUCGCAUGAAGUAGCAAUUAAAGGAGUAAUCCGCUAUGAGAUGGGCCCGCGGCGCAUUAGCUAGUUGGUGAGGUAACGGCUCACCAAGGCGACGAUGCGUAGCCGACCUGAGAGGGUGAUCGGCCACAUUGGGACUGAGACACGGCCCAGACUCCUACGGGAGGCAGCAGUGGGGAAUAUUGCACAAUGGGGGAAACCCUGAUGCAGCAACGCCGCGUGAGUGAUGACGGCCUUCGGGUUGUAAAGCUCUGUCUUCAGGGACGAUAAUGACGGUACCUGAGGAGGAAGCCACGGCUAACUACGUGCCAGCAGCCGCCGUAA
rnacentral:rRNA from 1 species